GACGAACGCUGGCGGCGUGCUUAACACAUGCAAGUCGAACGGAAAGGCGCGGCGUUUGUGUGGUUCUCGAUAGGCGAACACGUGAGUGACACAUGAGUAACCUGCCCUUGACUGUGGGAUAACUUCUGGAAACUCCGGCGAAUACCGGAUAUGAGCUCCUGCUGCAUGUUGGUGGUUGGAAAGUUUCGGCGGUUGGGGCUGGACUCGCUGCUUAUGAGCUUGUUUGUGUGGUAGUGGCUUACCAAGGCUUUGACGGGUAGCCUGCCUGAGAGGGUGACCGGGCACCUUGGGACUGAGAUAGGGACCAGACUCGUAUGGGAGGCAGUAGGGGAGAAUCUUGCACAAUGGGCGGACGCCUGAUGCAGCAACGUUGGGUGCGGGAUGCCGGGUUUCGGGUUGUAAACAGAUUUGGACUGUGACGAAGCGUGCGUGACGGUAAUGGGUAAAGAAGCCCCGGCUAACUACGUG
rnacentral:rRNA from 1 species